UACAGGGGGGGCAAGCGUUGUUCGGAAUUACUGGGCGUAAAGGGCCCGUAGGCGGCCAACUAAGUCACACGUGAAAUCCCCAGGCUUAACCUGGGAACUGCGUGUGAUACUGGAUGGCUUGAAUUCGGGAGAGGGAUGCAGAAUUCCAGGUGUAGCGGUGAAAUGCGUAGAUAUCAGGAGGAACACCGGUGGCGAAGGCGGUCUGCUGGGCAGUUGCUGACGCUGAUGCGCGACAGCGUGGGGAGCAAACAGG
rnacentral:rRNA from 1 species